GUAACGGAAGUAGCUUGCUACUAGACGACGACCGGCGCACGGGUGAGUAACGCGUAUGUAAUCUGCCUUGUACAGAGGGAUAGCCCAGAGAAAUUUGGAUUAAUACCUCAUAGUAUUACUGAAUCGCAUGAUUUGGUAAUUAAAGCUCCGGCGGUACAAGAUGAACAUGCGUGACAUUAGCUAGUUGGUAAGGUAACGGCUUACCAAGGCCACGAUGUCUAGGGGUUCUGAGAGGAUGAUCCCCCACACUGGUACUGAGACACGGACCAGACUCCUACGGGAGGCAGCAGUGAGGAAUAUUGGUCAAUGGACGCAAGUCUGAACCAGCCAUCCCGCGUGAAGGAUGACUGCCCUAUGGGUUGUAAACUUCUUUUAUAUGCAAAUAAACCUACUUUCGUGAAAGUAGCUGAAGGUAGCAUAUGAAUAAGCACCGGCUAACUCCGUGCCAGCAGCCGCGGUAAUACGGAGGGUGUAAGCGUNAUCCGGAU
rnacentral:rRNA from 1 species